rnacentral:lncRNA from 1 species
CGGCCGUAGAACAGUUCUGGCUUUACUGGUGGUUCUCCCCGCCUAAACAUGUGUGACUAAAUCUUUCACCAGGAGAAGGUCUACACACUGGCUUUAUCUCAGACAGAAAAUUUUGUGGAGCUAGUCAACACACAAAACACUAUUACUUAUCAGAGACUCAGAUGGGGUGCGCGAGAAGAUAAUUUAUAUAUACAGUCAAGACAAUAUCAAGGCAGUAAAAAGCGGACAAGUAGCACAUUAGGCCCAAAUAAGUCAUAAUAUAUACAAAAUUUAAUAAAGCCAAAUAAAAUUAAUGUACAAGCUCGAAUUCUUGAAACAUUCUCCAGCAGAGUCGCCAGAGCUGUUACACCUCCUUUUUACACACCCCGAGGGUAUAUAAGGGAGUUUUUCCAAUUAAAGUGACAAAUUUGAGUAGGGAUUGUUUUAUUUAUAGAGUUGCCACUUGGAAUUUGAUUUUGGGGUGUUCCAAGUCACCUUUUAUUUGAAAUCCCUGGAUAGUAGAAAGAAAAUGUCAGCAGGGAGGAACUGAAUUUCAGCAACAAAAGCAGCAGAAAACAGUAGCAAAAUAGUGUUUCAAACAACCCGAAAAUCUUAGAGAGAAAAUCCAGAACCAAAUCUAAAGAAGACUCAUACUUUUCUAAAAGUUUGCACUCUAAAAUUCACCCACAAAGCUCAUCAUUUCAACUUACUAAAUGCUGCUUUAGUUGCUGAUUUUUCACUCUCAAAAUUAUAUUUUUAGGGUGUAAAAACUGUCCUACAAAUGUGUGAUGGAGUCCCCCCUAAAGUGAGGAAAGGGCAACCCUUAAAUAGGCAAAUUUGGACAGAUUUUGGUUCACCAAAAGUUUGUCCAACAAAAACUGACAUUGUGUGCUAAACACUGUUCAAAAUUUGUCCAAAGGUCAAAGGAAAUCUACUAUCUCAGAAACAAAGAGAAAAAAUAUCAUUUCAGCCACCCUAACUUAGUAAAAGUAGGCUACUAGCACCCUAUUUUGUGACAAAAUAACAUAAACUUCAGAUUUUAAAAAUAUCAAUAUCACCAUGUUGAUUCAAACUAAACCAAGUAUUAAAACAUGUAAUUAAACUUCAACUCAUGUGUUAUGAACCAAUCGUAAGCAAACAAAAAUUAACCAUUAAAGCCAAACGAAACGCACGUUAUCGCUGAAGUGAUUUAAUAAAACCAACUAGACAAACAUAAUCAAAAAUGGAUUAAAUGAAGAAGUAAGAUAGAAACUAACUCUAACUAAACAAAUCAGAAAAUUAAUAACGGGGCAGGAUUAUGAUUUUACCAUAUACUCUCAAGUAUUUUCUCACUACCUCACUUUAAUCAACACAAAGCUAUUUUACUACUUCAACAAAUGCAAAAACAGAAAAUUUAACAUUUCAAACUUCAAAAACUAAUGCUAAAAUAAUUAAUAAUAGACAAAAAUAAAAUCUAAAAAAUAAAAAUAAAAAAUUAACCAUGAAAAAGAAUAGAAUUUUUACCAUUUUACAAUUCAAGUGGCCGAAAAAAUGGUGGUAUACCAAAAGAGGGUGUUCGGGGAGGUUGCCGGAUUUUGGUCGCCAGAUUUUUGGUG